ACUGCUUUUCUUUGAAAUCCCCUAAAUUGUGGAGCCCGUUAAUCAUAUGAUUGGCGGGUUUUUUUCU
rnacentral:sRNA from 1 species